rnacentral:rRNA from 1 species
GACGAACGCUGGCGGCGUGCCUAAUACAUGCAAGUCGAACGGAUUAGUUCCAAGUGGCUUGCGUGUUGGAACUAGACAGUGGCGGAUGGGAGGGUAAUACGUAGGCAACCUACCUGGGAAAACGGGAUAACCCCGGGAAACCGACGCGAAACCAGGAUAAGCUCCUUUGUCGCGGUAAGGAGGAUUGAAAGGGUGGGGCCUGACGACAGAUGGGCCUGCGGGGCAUUAGCUAGGAGGUAGGGUAAGGGCCUACCUAGGCGAUGCUGCGUAACGGAGCUGCGAGGACGUAGCGCCAGACUGGGACUGAGCUCCGGCGCACAGUCCUACGGGAGGCAGUCGUAGGGGAGGUUGGGCAAUGGGCGAAAGCCUGACCGGGCGACGCCGCGUGAGGGAGGACGGCGUUCGGGAUGUAAAACUUUGUUGUUUGGGAAGAAGGCAAAGGGUAGGAACCUUUGGUGACGGUACCAAACGAGAAAGCCCCGGCUAACUACGUG